AAGGAGUUAGUUAAAACAUAACAUUAGAAUGUCAAUCUAAAAUAACUAAAAAAAAAUUAGUACACCUUG
rnacentral:tRNA from 1 species